rnacentral:rRNA from 1 species
UGGGGAAUAUUGCACAAUGGGCGCAAGCCUGAUGCAGCCAUGCCGCGUGUGUGAGGAAGGCCUUCGGGUUGUAAAGCACUUUCAGCGAGGAGGAAGGUGGUGAGCUUAAUACGCUCAUCAAUUGACGUUACUCGCAGAAGAAGCACCGGCUAACUCCGUGCCAGCAGCCGCGGUAAUACGGAGGGUGCAAGCGUUAAUCGGAAUUACUGGGCGUAAAGCGCACGCAGGCGGUUUGUUAAGUCAGAUGUGAAAUCCCCGGGCUCAACCUGGGAACUGCAUUUGAAACUGGCAAGCUAGAGUCUCGUAGAGGGGGGUAGAAUUCCAGGUGUAGCGGUGAAAUGCGUAGAGAUCUGGAGGAAUACCGGUGGCGAAGGCGGCCCCCUGGACGAAGACUGACGCUCAGGUGCGAAAGCGCGGGGAGCAAACAGGAUUAGAUACCCUGGUAGUCCACGCUGUAAAACGAUGUCGAUUUUGGAGGUUGUGCCCUUGAGGCGUGGCUUCCGGAGCUAACGCGUUAAAUCGACCGCCUGGGGAGUACGGCCGCAAGGUUAAAACUCAAAGGAAUUG